CUCAGCCGUAAACUCAGACAUCCAGCUACAAUUAGAUGUCCGCCAGGGUACUACGAGCAUUAGCUUAAAACCCAAAGGACCUGACGGUGUCUCAGACCCCCCUAGAGGAGCCUGUUCUAGAACCGAUAACCCCCGUUCAACCUCACCACUUCUAGCCACCCCAGCCUAUAUACCGCCGUCGUCAGCUUACCCUGUGAAGGUAAUAAAAGUAAGCAAAAUGGGCACAACCCAAAACGUCAGGUCGAGGUGUAGCGCAUGAAGUGGGAAGAAAUGGGCUACAUUUUCUAAUAUAGAAUAUUACGAACAUGCACCAUGAAACAAUGCUUGAAGGAGGAUUUAGUAGUAAAAGGGAAGUAGAGUGUCCCUUUGAACCCGGCUCUGAGACGCGUAC
rnacentral:rRNA from 1 species